rnacentral:rRNA from 1 species
GUCCACGCUGUAAACGAUGAGUGCUAGUUGUUGGGGAGUUUACUCCUCAGUGACGAAGCUAACGCGAUAAGCACUCCGCCUGGGGAGUACGGCCGCAAGGUUAAAACUCAAAGGAAUUGACGGGGGCCCCGCACAAGCGGUGGAGCAUGUGGUUUAAUUCGACGCAACGCGAAGAACCUUACCAACCCUUGACAUGGGUAUCGCGGAGACCAGAGACGGUCUCCUUCAGUUCGGCUGGAUACCACACAGGUGCUGCAUGGCUGUCGU